UACAGAGGGUGCGAGCGUUGUCCGGAAUCACUGGGCGUAAAGGGCGCGUAGGCGGCGCGGUAAGCGUGCGGUGAAAGCCCGGGGCUCAACCCCGGGUCGGCCGUGCGGACUGCCGGGCUGGAGCACUGUAGAGGCAGGUGGAAUUCCGGGUGCAGCGGUGGAAUGCGUAGAGAUCCGGAAGAACACCGGUGGCGAAGGCGGCCUGCUGGGCAGUAGCUGACGCUGAAGCGCGACAGCGUGGGGAGCAAACAGG
rnacentral:rRNA from 1 species